GGAAUACAGAGAAAUGAUAGAGCAACUCCAGGUGUCCUUAAACUCUGCCCAAGACGAGGUCCAACAACUGUGUCAAGAAAAAUCCCAGUGGAUAAAAUCACCUACGGAAGAGAACCUGAGAAUUCAGUCUUCUGAAUCAGAAAAAGAACUUGGAGACAGUAGAAGAAACGUGCCAACAGUGUCAAAAAUUGUGGUAUCCCAACACUACAGUGACGAAGAUG